UACAGGGGGGGCAAGCGUUGUUCGGAAUUACUGGGCGUAAAGGGUUCGUAGGUGGCCACUUAAGUCAGACGUGAAAUCCCUCAGCUUAACUGGGGAACUGCGUCUGAUACUGAGUGGCUUGAGUGCAGGAGAGGAAUGCGGAAUUCCAGGUGUAGCGGUGAAAUGCGUAGAUAUCCGGAGGAACACCAGAGGCGAAGGCGGCCGACUGGACCUGACCUGACGCUGAGGCGCGAAGGCGUGGGGAGCGAACGGG
rnacentral:rRNA from 1 species